UAUUACACUCUAAAAAACGUGAGCCAGUUGGGUUAUUUUGUUUGGUUGUUUUAUCAGUGUUGGGUAGUUAUAUGUUGGGUAAUUUUGAAGCAGAGCCAGCUUAAUAGAUACAUAGCUGUUUUUCAAUAUUACUUUCUCUAGUCCACAAAAUGUAUUUUAAACAUAAGUUCAGGCGAGAAUAUAUAUGUAUAAUGUUCAAAUUUGCAGUCGGUUUGUAAAGUGAACGCCAAUUUUAAAGUUUAAUUACACAAAGUCGGAAUGUUUCCGGCGUGACCACCGGGUGUCAGUGUUCUGCUUCCCCAGAGAGAACUGCUCCCUUCCCCCACACAGACGCGUCAGCUGAACUUCUGCUCUCACUCACUGCAACGAUACCUGAAGCGGGAGUUUACUAUUCACCUCACGAUUCAUGAACGGUUUUUCAUCGACUUAUCUUUGAUUUAUUUGAAGGAAAAGACCCUGAUGGAUAAAAGAUGGAUAUUUUUUUCCUGGAGAAGCUAAAACAAUGUAACUUUGAGGUUCUGAUACCAGCUUUUACAAAGUUAUUUACAGAGUUCACCAGACUUCUCUGUGGUAUUUUCUGACCAUGCCGAAAAGCUAUUUGAAACUUGGGCAUUGCAUUUUCCAGACAGAAUCCUGCAACUUCCCAGCCAAGAACCAGGAGCAUCAACAAAUCACCUCCAGAACCCCAUGAUGAUAUUCCAACUCCUGUCUACAAAAGUGGGAAGAAAAUCUUAAGUCUACAUGUUGGGACCAACAUGGUUGCAUUCUUCUGAGAGGCUGAUGUGACAAAACCAUUCCCAUUUGUCCUUGGAUUGGAAGAUGGCGAUCUCUGCCAUCAAGCCUUCGUUGUUUUUGACAGACAGUCACUCCAGCAAUACACCCUCCUUGGUGAUGUUGACAUGUUUUGAACUUUUUUUUAUGUUUUGGACAUUAAUUUUACUAAGCAGUGCACAUCAGUGUGGGUGUUUUUGAAGACUGUUGUUUACAAACUCCCAAGAACGGAAUCCCUUUCUAUAAGAAGUCUGUGAAGUUAUUUGUCAUGCUAAGGUGAUAACUCAUGUUGAUCAUAUAUUGACUGUUUGUGCAACUUUGUGUUGAUCUUAUGUGUUACAUUAACCAUUUCUUAUUACACGGUUCUCUAAAAUGCUAGAUUCUGAUUGGCCAGUCGUGACAUUCUACUACUGCUCAAAACUAAAAACUCCAAUGCUGCAAAUAAUUUUGACAGGUACAGUUUUAUAUUACACAAAAAUUAAAUAUCAAUGUCUAUUAAUUACAUAUCCGACAUUAAAUUUAUAAAUGAUUAAAUGUGUUCGUGACAUUUGUCCUGAAGAAACUGUUGGGGCUUUUUUCUGUGAUGACAUGCUGCCAAUACAUUAUCCCUUACUUGUACAACUUUUUACUUGAUCUAAUUGUAAUGUUAACUGGGUGUCUGUCAUUUUAGAUUGUGAGAUAUAAUACUAAUAUCUUUUUUUAUAUAUAUUUAUUUAUUUAUUUAUAUAUAAUAUAUAAACGUAUGUAUGUUUAUUAAAAAGUGAAAAUGCUUAAUGGAAAUAAUUAAAUAACUAAAUGGUUGAAUGAA